ACUCCUACGGGAGGCAGCAGUAGGGAAUCUUCCACAAUGGGCGCAAGCCUGAUGGAGCAACACCGCGUGAGUGAAGAAGGGUUUCGGCUCGUAAAGCUCUGUGUUAAAGAAGAACACGUAUGAGAGUAACUGUUCAUACGUUGACGGUAUUUAACCAGAAAGUCACGGCUAACUACGUGCCAGCAGCCGCGGUAAUACGUAGGUGGCAAGCGUUAUCCGGAUUUAUUGGGCGUAAAGAGAGUGCAGGCGGUUUUCUAAGUCUGAUGUGAAAGCCUUCGGCUUAACCGGGAGAAGUGCAUCGGAAACUGGAUAACUUGAGUGCAGAAGAGGGUAGUGGAACGCCAUGUGUAGCGGUGGAAUGCGUAGAUAUAUGGAAGAACACCAGUGGCGAAGGCGGCUACCUGGUCUGCAACUGACGCUGAGACUCGAAAGCAUGGGUAGCGAACAGGAUUAGAUACCCUGGUAGGAUAGCG
rnacentral:rRNA from 1 species